GAGCUCGCUUCAGCAGCACAUAACUAAAACUGGAACGACAGAGAGAAGAUUAGCGUGGACCCCGCGCAAGGACGGCAGGCCAGUUUGUGAAGUGUCCCCCCCUAUU
ensembl:snRNA U6 U6 spliceosomal RNA